rnacentral:rRNA from 1 species
UACAUGGGGUGCAAACGUUGCUCGGAAUUAUUAGGCGUAAAGCGCACGUAGGUGGUCUGUUAUGUCAGAUGUGAAAGCCCUCGGCUUAACUGAGGAAGUGCACCUGAAACUGGCAGGCUUGAGUACGAAAGAGGGUCGCGGAAUUCCCGGUGUAGAGGUGAAAUUCGUAGAUAUCGGGAGGAACACCGGUGGCGAAGGCGGCGACCUGGUUCGAUACUGACACUGAGGUGCGAAAGCGUGGGGAGCAAACGGG